CUCGCCGAAUGGGUACACGUUCAUUGCAAGUGUACCUUGGAAAGAGGAGAAGCCGGAAGUUUCAAGAGUAAACUUAUAAACGAUGAUGGUGGUUCUAGACGUGGCUGCCGGCGAGGCGGGCCCGAGCGCGGGGCCCAAAACGUCGCCGGCGGCACGGGAGGAUGAGUAGCCCCGUACCGUGAGCGGGUCUACCGACCCACACCCAGCGCGCGAAGUCGCGGUAGGUAAAAUCCCCGAUCAACUAAGCCGUCCACUCAACAAUGUGUGAGGAAUCGCCUAAAGCUGAAGGUACUGGUGGCAGGACGACAGAAUUAGCUGGUUGUGGGAAACACCCAACAUCCAAUCGCGCAUCAACCCGUGGCAUUGGGCCGAAGGCCAAGUAGGGCGUAGCGAUCAAGACGAAUGGUUUUUACCGGGUGAACCUCGUGGGCUAAGGCACCGUGCCGAGUGGCUUCGUCAGCGCGGUAGGAUG
rnacentral:rRNA from 1 species